GUUCAGAUCAGUAGUGUUAUGUACAUUUACAUUGUUGGGCAGCUAUCACCACCAUCCAUCUUCAGAACUCUUCUCACCUUGCAAAAAAAUGAACCAAGAUGAAUUUGAAUGCCAAUGUUCUUUAAGACCGUGGACAUCCCAAAUGAAAGUACUGAAAGACUCAUGCUCCAGAAAUCAGCUACCAAAUUGUGAUACCCCCAUAUUUUCUAGAGAAGUCAAGACAUCAACAGUUCAAACAGUGUUUACAGAAAAUCCCAUGCCAAAUUCUAGCCAUGUAGAGGAUAUCCAGCCAAGUGAAG